ACGUCUUUUGUGCUCUUGAGCUUGACUCCUUAGGGUAGCUCAUUUUGAACUGCUUUCCAAGUAAACAUCCUUCACAUACUUGAUUGGGGUGGUUGAUGUAAGGCAAUCCUCUGACCAUUUCCUUCUUAGAGAGCAACUCUAAUCCUCCAAAAUUGAGAUGCCCAAAUCGAAGAUGCCAAAACCAUGACUCUUCUUUGUAGCACAUUUUGAGACAUUGCGCAACAUCAUUUUGUAUGUUGAGCACGAACAUUCUAUUUCUUGACAUUAGCACCUUAGCAAUGAACUUGUUUGAGUGAUCUCUUAUAGAAAG
rnacentral:lncRNA from 1 species